rnacentral:lncRNA from 1 species
UUCUUCAGUUGUGUGGCCUCUCUUUGGACACCAUUCAGUACACCGUGUGUUAACAAAGUGCCCUUUUGAUUGCCUCUGGUGUCCGAUGAUGUCCUUUGUGGAUUUGAUUUACAAUUGGGUUCUACAUGAUGGUAGGUUAUUAUUCUUUAGUCAAAAAUUAAAGAAGUACCUUUUUUAGGUUGGAUAAGGCUUGAUGCGAUGAAUAAGCUUCAAAACUUGUGACAAUAGAUUUUAAUGCAGAGUGAUAAUUCACAGUAUCUCUCCCCAUAUUCUGAUUCAUUAUUUGCGAUCUGAGUCUUAGUAUGUCAUCUCAGUUCAUUUCCCAGGCCCCUUAAGUUACUGCUUGACUGUUUAUAUCUCGCAAAUGGAGCAGUACAGUUUGCUGCAAGACAGGAUUAGUUUUAACGUCUCAGACUAUCGGGAGAUAUCAUAGAGCAACACAUUACGUGUGGAUAAAGACGUGGAGAUGUGCAUGUUUUUUUCUUACCAAUUUGGGC